UUAAUGCUAUUCCACGUUAAAAUAUGAUUAUUCAAAUAUAAUUAUUCAGCUAGCAUAAAUAAUGAAAAGUUUGGAAUAAUAUCUCUAAUUAAGAGCCAAAAGCUUUUUCUUGUAUCUCCUCGCAUGUUGCGAUGCACAUAUCAAAUAUCAAAAAUUAACGUCAAAAAUGAAAGGCUCGUGAAAGCGCGAGAGGAGCUUUAACGGCCUUCUGACAAUAUGUUUUACUUUAUUUCUGUUUGCUGCAUACCCUGAAUUGCAAUCGUUUAAGCUAAAGUUAUUAAUUACAAACGACAUAGUCUUCUCAAAGGCUCGGUGUACUGAUAAAAGCGAUUCUCCAAAGUAGCAGAUGGGUAAUACUUUUAUCGUAUAUCACGAUAUGGCCAUACGCGAAUAAACGGGCCAAACUAGGAAAGGGUGUUUGCCUGGUUCAGACCUGCGUCUCAGUGUUAUACUACCACUUUUUACACACUCUCCCCUCCUGCUCGUCCUCCGUUCCCUUCCCCCGUUUUUAACUCUAGCCCCGAAAAAAGCCCACUUACCCAAUCGUACCCCAAUCUACCGCUGGCUCAGCGGCGGCGUGCAAAACUCUCGAUCAACCGCCAGUAUUUUUAUCUCCGCAGUUUUUAAGGUCACUUGUUGCUUCUUACUAUGCUAGUGCCGCGGGAAGAAAACUCGCCCUCUUUACGAAGACCACGUCCACUUUUUCCCGCGGCGCCAACGUUAAUAACUGCGGCAUCCGUGUGCGGAAAGUUGAUAUCGCGUAACAAUUAUAUCUUACGACUCUCUGGUGUGAAAUUAAAUUAGUACAAAGUAAAAGCGAUUAUUCGCAUAAGAGCGAAUUUUAUUAAUACACAGUAAGAUCUAUUAUUGGUUAUAGAUAUUUCAUAAGCUUAUUUUGCUACAAUUCAUUAUUUUAGCGAUUGCGUUGAAAAACCAAUUGCAGAAAUACCAAUGGAUUUAUCGAUAAAUUCUUGAAUCAAUUUAAAAUCGAUGAUGGCUCUUUACCUUCUUAUUCGAACCUGCAACCGUGCUCACCUCUGAUGCCACAAAAUUAUUUGUCGGAUUGUAUAACGCUUCACCUAUCAAUUAGAACAACGAAUCCCUACCGCAAAAAGUCGGAAUGCGUUAGCAGGCUUUUCCGCAUUCAGUAUUUAGCGCGUAUUAACGAGGAAAUCGAGCUGGGCAGCGCACGCUCGUUAGUAUUACCUGCUGUAAUAAUCGCAUCUGUAUUUGAGAAAAGAAGAGAAUAAGUAGAAAACGGACCGGUUAUAAGUGCAGCGCGUUCACUUUUAAUUGACGAAACUUCCUUCCGCGACGCACUCUGAGAAAACUCGCUAUUUUCUCUCUUUCUCUUCCUCUUUCUCUUUCAUAUUUUUUUCAAUAUAAUCAUAAUGUUUGCAUUCCGGUUGCACGCGAUUACUCGAGCUUCCUUGGCGCGGCGAUGCGUACCCCUCACCCAGUUUCACCCCUUCGCGUCUCCGUUGCAGCUGCGCACGAUAUCCGAUCAGUGUGGCCGGUAUUUUUAUUCGUAGAUUUUAAGGUCACUUGUUGCUUGUUUAGUUAUGUCGGGGUACACACGCGCCGUCAACACACUGGCGCAUGGAUCGGCUGGAGCGCGCGCACGCGAGAGAGAGAGAGAGAGAGAGAGAGAGAGAGAGAGAGAGAGAACGCAUAAAUGUGUGUGCUCAGCGGGGGCGUUCGCUCUGGUGUAUCGUAAUGCACGUGGACAAAGCAAUCCGCCGACAUGUGUUGAGGAUGCUACAUGCAAGCGCAGGAUUGUGUACGUGGCAUCGGACCGAUAGGUGGACGCCCUGUCGAUUUCAUUUCCCCCAUCGGAUGGCGAGGGGGUGCGCCGAGGGGGGGAGGUUGAGCGUUCCACUAUUUUUUUUCUGGCUUUUUGCCCCUUUUUUCCGGGGCGUCCGGAUUUCGCGUUGCGGUUUUUUUGCGCAGCUUUCGCUACUCGCGCGUGGUGCUCCUACUCUUGCACCCCCUCUCUCUCUCUCUCGAUUUCCCUCACUCUCUCUCUCUCUCUCUACCGCUCGCUACGUCUAUCGAAAUGUCCCAGUCUCUCUUACCGCUUCUUUUCACACUAGUUUUCUCUCUCGUUCCCUCGCCGCCUAACUCUCGUCCCUCUCACUCUAUUUUUUCUGGCUUUUGCUUUUGUUUUUUGUCAACCACCGUUUGCCGCGUUGCGCGUUCGUUUUGUUUAGUGAGUUAUGUCACGGCCACCAAAUCGAUCUUCGAUGUCCGAAUACGUACGGCCGGAAUUACGCUUGUAAAGCAAUAAGAAUUACUAUACUGAAUCUUAGAAGUUCGGAAUAAUCUCUUGUAAAACGCAUGAUCGUUUCAAUCGAGGUUUGAUCUUUACAUAGGACUAGGUGCAAGAUAUAAAUGGCAUGUUAAUUAAAAAAAAUGUAUGUCAUUUGCAGAUGGUUUGAAAAUAGGAUUUUAUUUCGUAAAAUUUUAUACAUUUUGUCUUGUAAAUUUCGAGAUAAACAUUCCAUAACGAAUUACUCGAUAUUGACUUACUUUCUAAGUAGAUUAGUGUAUGCGACUAUAUACUAAAGCAGUAACGCAAUGACAAGAACCGUGUGCACGCAUGUAUACAAAAUCGAAUACGUAUACGGGAGUGUGGUGGUUGAUUUGCGAGCGUCGGGCUUCCAUAGAUCGAGCAGAUCAAUGGCAUCGACUCCCUAGAGUCAGUCUUUUCUCCCAUCCUACUCCAUCAAGUUGUAAUGUGCAUGUGCGUGAUCCGCUAGAACUGAGCGACUGACAUAUUCGAUUCCGAUUAUCGAAUGCGUGUUGUCGUAAACAGGUGCAAUUAGGAAACCUUAAACACGGCUUACCGUUUAACAGUCAUUCACGCUGUCGAUUCAAUGAUAAAUGAUCUCCGAAUCUCAAUAUCUAUUUUUCUCUUUGUCAAGUAAAAAAAAAAAAAUAAAUUUUCCUCUAAGUUAAUUUGCGAUAUCCCGACUCGUUAUGUAACGUGGUCCCUCAUUUUUAUUCCGGCACAAAACCGGCAAAAGAAAUCUCAAAAGCAGCGGUACCGACUUUUCCCUGAAAAUACAUCGAGUGCGCUCGAGGAAUUCAGCGGACUGCCGAAAGAGAACGUGGUCGAUAAAACUCGGAAUAUUCCAUCGCUGCUAUUCAAGCAUCCGAUAUGAAUAUGAAAAGUGCUUCAUAUUCUUGGACAAUAGUGCUACCAUUCUCGCGCUAACUAGAUAAUUAACGUUCGUGAUUUGCAUCGCGCCGAACGAACUUCUUACAAACUCCUAGCGCUUCCGAACUAUCGUUCGACUCUGCGGAAAAGUCUAAACUCGAUGCAGGACGGACGGACGGACGGACGGACGGACGGAUUGGUGAACCCGCUGCUGCCGGUGACAGCCACGGUAUUAACAUUCCUGCCCGGCCAGCAACUUCAUACUCAAUGAUAUACCACAGCGAGGAAACGCGUGUACGCGCGUACACAAGCGUGGCGCGCGGUGAAACGUAUGUACGUACGAUGGAUUCGUGGUCGCGCCGUCGACGAGGAGGAUAUUGGGGUGCUUUCGUACUCGUUUCACCAUAAUAAUUCGCCGGCAUACAAGUAUAGCCGCACCGUACGUUUGCACGGAGGUCGUCGGCUACGUCGGCACUGAAAGAUCUCUUAUUUGUCGAUAUGUUCCGGCAGUUCAAGGAAAAGAAUCGAGCGAUAUGGAAAUUGAAAGUCUUAGGAUAACAAUGCGAUGUGAUAUGAGGGAAGGAAACG
rnacentral:lncRNA from 1 species